rnacentral:rRNA from 1 species
UGGGGAAUAUUGCACAAUGGGGGGAACCCUGAUGCAGCGACGCCGCGUGAGGGAAGAAGGUUUUCGGAUUGUAAACCUCUGUCUUGUGGGACGAUAAUGACGGUACCACAGGAGGAAGCCAUGGCUAACUACGUGCCAGCAGCCGCGGUAAUACGUAGAUGGCGAGCGUUGUCCGGAAUUACUGGGUGUAAAGGGAGUGUAGGCGGGAUCAUAAGUUGCGUGUGAAAUGCAGGGGCUCAACCCCUGAACUGCGCGCAAAACUGUGGUUCUUGAGUGAAGUAGAGGCAGGCGGAAUUCCCGGUGUAGCGGUGGAAUGCGUAGAUAUCGGGAGGAACACCAGUGGCGAAGGCGGCCUGCUGGGCUUUUACUGACGCUGAGGCUCGAAAGCAUGGGGAGCAAACAG